rnacentral:rRNA from 1 species
AUGAGGGGCCGCGGCAACCCCCAGAUGCCGCCGCACGGCUACGACCCGCGCAGCGCCGCCUUCGCCGCCGCGUGGCACGGCGCCGCCUCGGCCUCCGACCCCGCGNNNNNNNNNNNNNNNNNNNNNNNNNNNNNNNNNNNNNNNNNNNNNNGGCAGGACCCCUUCCAUCUCAUGCUCCCUCACCUCCUCCUCCAGAACCAGGCCGCCCUCGCCGCGGCCUUCCACCACCAGCAGCAGUUCCAGCAGCAUCAGCAUCAGCAGCAGCAGUACCAGCAGCCGCCGCUCCCCUCCCCCGGCUACGCCCAGAGCCCUACCACCCCCAACGUCCAGCACCGCCCGCCCAACCCCUCGCCCGCGUCGGCCCCGCCUCAGCAGCAGCAGCAGCAGCCGCUGCCGCCGCCGCGCAACCCCGCGGCCCUCGAGAGGGCGCAGGCGGCGGCGACCAAGGCGCGGGACGAGCUCACGCACGCGGGCCAGGGCGUCACCGGGUGGAAGGUGGCCCAGGCGGCGCUCGUGGCGCUCAAGGCGGACUCGUGGGGAUCCCUCGGCGUCCAGCUCCACGACGUGCCCGUCCUGCGCGAACUCUUCAGCAUCGAGGGCAAGGUGAACACAUUCAUCCAUUGUUAUGUUGCAGCAAGAAAAAUCGUAUCUAUUCAUGACCUGGAGGUUGAGAUAUGCAAGAACGAGGGUAUUGGUCAGUUCGAAGAGCUGGGGUUGGGGCCUUUUCUUCAGCACCCACUUGUUGCACAUUAUUUUUUUGUACCUGCUGAUUUAUCCAAGGUGCCUAAGCUUAGUAGCGAGGAGAUUAUCAGUUGCCUGCAGAAGUUUAUUGAUAAUUCUAAGGAGAAAGUCACAGCGGAAAGCUUCUUGGAUCAUCUCGCGGAACAAAAGUCGGUCUCUGGGAAGGAGAAACUUGGCGUGCGCGUACAGAGCUUGGGGUUGCACAUUUCCUUUCUCCGACAGGCCAGAAGAAAUGAAGUUGCUGCAAUUAAACAUCUAGGCAAGACCAGUGGUUCUCGUGAUAGCACUUGUGAGAAGGAUCUACCAAAACAGACAGACUUCCAUUCGGGGAAGCAGGAGUUGGACAAGAGGUUCGAUGAUAUAACUAGCCGUAUAAAGCAAUUACCAGGCAUCAAUAAACAUAUUCGUUUUGAUUCAGCCGGUGAUGAAGUUGAUGACGGUAGUAGUUCGAAGGACGCCGUGGAGGAGAGUGAGAGCGAAGAUAGCUGUUAUAUUGUUGACAGAAAGGAUGUUGAUAAAAGUGUCAGUGGCUGCCCAUAUCCUUCGACAGCAGAAGAAAUUAAACGUCUUGGUUUGAAAUCAGAACAGAGUAAAAAACCAGCUAUUGUGAGCAGCAAGGUAAAAGCGAAUGAAGUAAAUGUCCAUUCAAGAAACAAAAGGAAAUAUGAGGAAAAUGGGACUCCUAGCUCUUUGUGCAAACAGCCCAAUAAGCGGCAAAAGAUGCAAAUAAAAAAGAAAGAAGUCUCGCCUAAUUGCUUCCUAAGUACAGGUAAGCUGGAGAAAUUCAUAACAACCUGGAAAGAAGCAUGCCGUGAACAUUCAGUUCAACAGGUUUUGGAAUUGAUAGCAAAUUACUAUACAGAAACACCAGAAGAAAAGAGGAAAAUGAUAAAUUUCUUCUCGCAAUACCCAGGCAUUGGCUUCCUAAAUGUUGCAGUUAGAUCUAUGGCCUGUGGUCUGCUGGACAGUAUUUAUGAUGCGAUCCAUGUCUUUAGUGAGAAUAAAUUGUCAUCAAGUCCUAUUCCUAACACCACAACGGAGGUUAUGGAAAUUGAGCCCCUGAGUAAAGAAAAUACUAAAUCCAUUGCUAAAGGAGCCAAUCAGCCUGGACCCAAUGUCACAGCUGAUGAUGUCAUCAGGAGAAUUACUGAAUAUUUUGAGUCCAACAGUGGAGUGUCUAGAGCUGGGGCCUUGAAAGUGGAAAAUUUUAUGUUCCUGAAGACACUUCAUGAUUGUGAAAUAUGGGUAGUUACUCAAUUUUCUGCCAAGCAAUUUACUUCUCUUGGCCAUGGGACUUUCCUUGAGUUUUUGGGAAAACAUGGUGAUCACUUCCCCCCUAAGUUGAGUAGUUUGUUGAAGCGGGGGAACUCUAAUUCUUCGUCUCUGGAAGUUUCUGUACUGCGGCAACAAAUUGAAGUCCUACUCUGCCAAGCCGAGGGUAACUGGCUAGAAGAUGGUGACUUUUCAGGGGAUAGUUUCCUUAUGCUUCUCAAAAGGCAGUUCCCGACAAUUAGUUUUGAUAUUGCACAAUUCAAAUCUGGGGAAGAACUUAAAGGUUCUAUAGAGAGACAGAGAAGGAGCACACACACAAAUAAUAUCACGUUUUCUGUCUCUCUGUUGGAGAAACGGUGGUCUGGAAUGUCUCCAGGCGAGCAUGAUACUGUUGGUGGGCAGAGGAACAGUUCUGAACAAACUUAUUAUUCUGAAACCGUUUCUUCACGAGAAGCAACUAACUGUUUACUUAAGGCUCCAAUGUUGUCAGAUCUGCUUCUCUGGUCACAUUGGGAUAUGUUGUUUGCUCCUUCACUGGGUUCCUUCAUACACUGGCUGCUGAAUGCAGGUCCAGUUCAACAGCUAGCUUGCAUCGUGACCACAGAUGGUAGAUUUAUAAGAGUAGAUCCAUCAGCCACGGUUGACCAAUUUUUAGAAGCCAUUAUUCAAUGCUCACCAUUUCAAGUGGCAGUGAAGCUGCUUUCCUUGCUGCACAUUUACAAUGGUUCUGUGAAUACUCCAUUUUCCUUACUGAAGUGUUAUGCACAACGAGCAAUAGGUAUCAUAAUGAACAACAACAAGGAUCCAAUGAACACUAGUUCUGAUGGCAAACCAUUUGUGACUGAGGGAUCCCAUAAUCUAAGUGCUGAACAGCGUGACAGCUCUCCUCAUUUUGUUGGCCAUGUUCAAGAAAGCUCCCAUCUGUCUUCUGCAAGAAAUGUCAUGUCUGAUGUCUUAACAAACAUUGACAGCACUAUUCAUUUUGUUGCCAAAUUUUUCCUUGAUUGUCUUGGUCAUCUGCCUUCUGAAUUCCGGAGUCUUGCAGCAGAUAUACUAUUGUCCGGACUUCGGACAGUUACCAAAAAUUGCUAUUCAGUCAUCUUACAUGAAGCCACAGAAACUUGGCAGCUUUGCAUGCUUCAUGAUGUUGGGUUGUCACUUGGAAUUACCGAGUGGGUCGAAGAUUAUCGUGAAUUCUGUUUAGCUGAAGGUCGUGCAAAGACAGAAACACAUUCUUCUUCUGGGCAUACAUCAGCUGUAUCUGAAGGACCUACACUUGAAAACUCUAACAUGCUUAUUCCUCAUGAUGCUGAUAUGGUGAAUGACAGUACUAAAUCAUUUCCUGGCGGAAAGGAUCAAGUCCUUUCUAUGAAUAAUAAGGAAAACCAGAACAUGUUAAAUCCUGUUGGAGUCAAGGCAGAAACUGCAUUUCAUACAAACCAAUCUCCCGUGAGGGGAGAAAUUAAUCUCGAGGAAGCAGCUCUAGUUAUUGAGACUAUACGACGUGAUGAGUUUGGUUUGGAUCAGGCUCUAAGCUGCACCGAGAAUAGUUUGUUGACGAAGCAGCAUGCUCGACUUGGCCGAGCACUGCAUUGUCUUUCACAAGAAUUAUACUCUCAGGAUUCUCACCUACUUCUUGAGCUGGUACAGAAUGCUGACGAUAAUACUUAUCUUGAGGAUGUUGAACCCACAUUAGCAUUCGUUCUUCAGGAUAAUGGUAUCGUUGUUCUCAACAACGAGAGGGGCUUUUCUGCUGAGAACAUUAGAGCUCUUUGUGAUAUUGGUAACUCAACAAAGAAAGGAGCCAACAGGGGUUAUAUUGGAAAUAAGGGCAUUGGAUUUAAAUCAGUAUUUCGGGUAACUGAUGCUCCAGAGAUCCAUUCAAAUGGUUUCCAUGUGAAAUUUGACAUUACCGACGGCCAGAUUGGUUUUGUAUUGCCAACUGCAGUUCCACCCUACAGUACUAGCUCUUUGAGUAGAAUGUUAUCUGUUGAAGAUGAUAAGGACGCUUGUUCCCGCUGGAAUACUUGCAUUUUACUUCCCUUCAGAUCUAAAUUCAGGGAUGACACUGGCAUGUGCUCCAUUGCAUCCAUGUUUUCAGAUCUCCACCCAUCUCUGCUUCUGUUCCUUAACCGACUGAAUUGUAUCAAGUUUAAGAAUGUGGUGAAUGACACACUGCUGGUUAUGAGAAGGAAGGCUCUUGGUGAUGGCAUUGUGAGGAUCUCACAUGGGAAUGAGAUAAUGAGUUGGUUGGUAGUUAGUAAGAAGUUACAGGGCACACUUGUACGCCAUGAUGUGCACACUACAGAGAUAGCUCUGGCAUUUACUUUGCAGGAGACUGAGAAAGGAGAGUAUGAACCUUACUUGAAGCAACAGCCUGUGUUCGCUUUUCUACCUCUAAGGAACUAUGGUCUUAAAUUCAUUCUUCAAGGGGAUUUUGUUUUACCUUCUUCCAGAGAGGAAGUGGAUGCAGAUAAUGCAUGGAACCAGUGGUUGCUAUCCGAAUUCCCCUCUUUGUUUGUCAGUGCACAAGAAUCCUUUUGUUCCCUUCCCUGCUUCCAGAGUUGCCCUGGAAAGGCUGUUACAGCAUUCAUGAGUUUUGUUCCUCUAGCAGGAGAAGUUCAUGGAUUCUUUUGCAAGCUCCCUCACUUAAUCCUUUCCAAGUUACGUCUGAAUAGGUGCAUGGUUUUGGAGGGUUCUAGUUCGCAAUGGGUCUAUCCAUGCAACACAUUAAGGGGUUGGGAUGAACAGACUAAAAUGCUGUUUUCUGAUGGCUUACUUCAUCAGCAUCUUGGUCUUGGUUAUCUGUCAAAAGAUAUCAUCAUACCUGAUACAUUAUCAAGGGCCCUAGGUAUUCACGAUCAUGGACCAAAUGUUUUUAUUGAUAUGGUAUCAUCAAUUUGCCGAACUGAGGGUUCCAUUGAGUCACUGGGGAUGGAGUGGCUAUGUGCUUGGUUUGUAAAUCUUCAUUUGGCGCUGUCACGUUCUUUUCAAAAUAUUCCCUCGACAACAAGUCUGGAAGGUGAUCUUUUAUGUGCUCUCAGGAAAUUACCAUGCAUUCCGCUUUCAGAUGGUUCAUUUAGUUCUGUAGCAGAUGGCCCUAUAUGGUUGCCUCAUGAUAUUCUCGGUUCCACAACUGACUGCAAAGGUAGCAUGAAGGAUUUCCCAAUUCUGUAUGGUAACCUUCGAUUUGUUAGUCCAUUGCUUUUCUCUGUGUCCUGUAAAAAUAAAUACCUUAUAGAAGAAAUGAGAGCUAACGAUCUGACGGAUAUUCUUCUGAAAAUCGGGGUGCGAAAGUUGUCUGGACAUGAAAUUAUCAAAAAUCACAUCCUCGCAUCCUUGCCAAAUGGUACAGAUGCUAAGAAGGUUGAUAAGAUGAUGAUGAUAGAGUAUGUGAGUUUUAUCAUGCUCCAUCUUCAGUCUCCAUGUACAAGCUGUAAUUUUGGGAAGGAAGAGAUAAUGUCAGAACUACGAAGUAGACCCAUCUUACUUACAAACCAUGGCUACAAGUGCCCAGCUGAUGAACCAAUUCACUUUAGUAAAGAAUAUGGAAGUCCUGUGGACAUAGGCAAGCUACUUAAGAAUGUUGAAAUCAGAUGGAUAGAACUUGAUAGUGGUUACUUGAUGAAUCAUGGUUCAGAUUUGCUGCCAUCUGUGCUGAAAAGUUGGAGGCAAUUUUUUGAGGAGAUGGGUGUGACUGAUUUUGUGCAUGUAAUGAAAGUUGAGAAAAACAUAUCCCAAGUUGAUUCUUUGAUAGCAGGAAGAAUAUUGCAAGGUGGUGUUUCUGGAACAUCCUGUACAGUGUAUGACUGGGAGUCACCAGAACUGGCUAACAUUUUAUCAUCAUUUUCUUCAAAAAAUUGCCGAGAAAAUUGCAUAUAUCUUAUGGAGGUUCUUGACAGUUUCUGGGAUGAUCAUUAUAGUGCAAAAGCUUGGUGUCUCACAAGCGGGACCAGUUGUGAUGGGAACAGAACAGUCGAGUCAUCCUUUAUGAAAUGUAUCAGAAGCUUCAAAUGGAUAGCGUCAACUGUGGAUUAUGACCUUCAUAAUGCAACGGAUUUGUUUUAUGAUUGUGAAAGCGUGCGUUCCCUGCUUGGUGGUGUGGCCCCAUAUGCUGUACCUCAGGUAUCCAGCGGGUCACUAAGGAAUGUUAUUGGAUUCAAAACAAAUGUAUCCCACAGUGACGCUUUAAUGACCCUGAACUUAUGGAUGACAUCACAAGUUCCAUUCAGCGCAAGUGUGGACCAGAUGAGCAAAUUCUAUACCUUUGUGUCAGAAGGUGCAGCUGAUGCAAAGAUUGACAUCAAACGGGAGUUCACGUCAUGCUCAUCUAUAUUUACACCACUAAUCCGUGCUCGAUCCAGUGAGGUCGUCCAUGGUAAAUUUUUAUCCCCAAAAGACCUCUAUUGGCAUGACCCAACAGGUUGUUCUGAAACGACAGAGGAAUUCGUUUUGGUGAAGAAUAGGAUGUUCCCAAGAAGGAUGCUGUGCUCAACCUAUCCAAACCUUUGUGAAUUCUUUACGGAAGCAUGUGGUGUACCAAAAGUUCCAACAACAGCUGAUUAUGUAGAGAUGCUCUUACGGCUAUCUAAAGUUGCACUGCCUUCACAAGUAGCCCAUCAGGUCUUCCGUGUAUUUGUGAGAUGGGCUACCGAUAUCCAUUCUGUGAGUGACAAGAACGAUCUAGUUUAUGUGAAAGAUUCUCUUCAGAAGCUGGAGACAACGAUAUUGCCAACCCUGGUUGAUAAAUGGGUCUCUCUCCAUCCAUCUUUUGGCCUUGUUUGCUGGUCAGAUGAUGAUGAGUUGAAACAACACUUUCAGAACUGUAUUGAUGUUGACUUCAUACAAUUUGGUACACUUUCUUCUGAGGACAAGCAAAUCUUAUAUGGAAGAGUUGCUGCACUGAUGAAAAGCCUAGGUAUCCCAGCGCUAUCCAAGGUUGUGCAUCGUGAAGCAAUAUUCUAUGGCACGGCUGACAACAGGGAAAAGGCUACUUUGCUUUGUGGACUGUUACCAUAUAUGCAACGCUACAUCUAUAAGACGCAUAGAGAUGCAUAUAUCAACUUUCAGCAAAAUGAGAUCAUGAAGCUUAGCAAUCUUCAGAUUAUUGUUGUUGAAAAGUUGUUCCACAAGUAUAUGCUUAAAGGACAUGAGAGUUCUUCUAAGAAAAGAUUCAAAUGCCAUUGUCUUCUGCAGGGAAAUAUUCUGUAUGCUACGCAAGAAGCUGAUUCACAUUCAUUGUUUCUGGAAACUUCUAGAAUUUUCUUUGAUGGAUCCCCUGAUCUGCACUUUGCGAAUUUUCUGCACAUGGUCAAAACCAUGGCCAUAUCUGGCACCUCAGCUGAACAGGUUGAGUCUUUUGUCGUUAAUAAUCAGAAUGUGCCUGCGUUGCCUGAAGAGGAAGCGGUUUGGUCCUUUUCUUCCUCGUUUGUGCCAGAGUUUGUACCCGACCAAGGUGUUGAUUCCAAACCGGUUGAAACCUCAUCUGCCUGUGUUCUCAAUAUUCACAAACAACAUCAGAGGUCAGACGGAACUGUUUCAAGUUGGCCACCUAAUAAUUGGAGAACAGCUCCUGAUUUUAGAACAUCCCGCAGAAGUCAGCAUGGACCCCUGCAAGAUACAAAGGUGAAUAAUGAUAAUUGGCUUCCUGGACCCCUGCAAGAUACAGAGGUGAAUGAUGUUGAGCUCACAAAUACAGAAGAUAAUUGGUUUCCUGUUCAGCUCGACGAGGAUUGGGUUAUAGAAGAGGAUACGAGUCUAGAAAGUAACUUACACACAGAAAGCACAGUGGCAACAUUGGACGAGCCUCAGAUGGUGAUGUCCAUUAACGCGGACGGUGCACCUGCUUAUUUGGACCUGGGGACCGGUUCACCUAGCGAGACUGAGGUAAUGGAUUUCAGUGACAAAAUGCCCAAUACUUCAGAAGGCAGGGAAAGGCUCCGCGCAGCCCAGUUACUAAAAACUGGCAGGGUUGGUGAAGCUGUAGCCUACAAACAUUUGGUUGAGCGGCUAGGGGCCAAGAACGUCAGGUGGGUGAAUGCAGACACUGAAACCGGACUGCCCUAUGAUAUUAUCAUCACCCGCGGAGAUAAUCGGAUAGAGUAUGUGGAGGUGAAGGCAACCACAACUUCAAACAAAAACUGGUUCUACAUCACAGCGAGGGAAUGGCAGUUUGCACUGGAAAAGGGGGAUGAUUUUAGCAUCGCCCGUGUCAUGGUGUCUGGCGAAAAGAUGGCAAAUAUUAAAAUGUUGAAAAACCCACACAAGCUUUGUCAGAAGAAAAUGUUGCAUCUUGCUCUCUUGAUUGCCCGCCGGUAG